AAUGGUUUGGCCCUUGCUAGUUUUGAACCCCUUUUUCUCCCCGCCCCGUAUGCUAAGGACGUCCAGAGUCCCAGCAGCACCCGCUGAAGGAAAAACAUGUGGAAGCACAUGGUGUGGUGAUUUGCCCUUUCGUGAAUGAAGAUUAAACUGCAGCUUCUCAGCCCAGCCGUGUGUCCCCAAGCCUGUCUCUGUCUACCGCCGCGACACUAGCCCGGCCGGCUGGAGCCUCCGAACAUUAACAACAACUCGUGAAGCUUUCCCCCUGCAGAUGUUUUUUAAUGCCAUGAGGUGGAUCAGUGAAAGGAUUCUAAGCUAUCACACCAUUUUGAUAUCAGAAAGCCAUGGAUAAGUGAUUGUCAAGAUCCAAAUGCAAUUGAUUCUAAGGAUUCUAUGUGAUAAUGUCUUCUUUCGAAAGGCAUGGCAGCAAGAAGACUGUGACUGACUUGGGGCACGGCUCUGGAGAGGUGGGGUUCCAGGAUAUAUUGGUGAGGUCAUCUGCCUUGGGAAGUCGGGAUGACAUCAUGGUAGCAUCUGAAACUUGGUGGCUGAAAAGCAUUAAGAUAUAAAGCAGAACAAAUUGUUUAAUAAUCAGGAAC